AUAUUUAACAUGGAAUGAAGAACUAUGUUGGCAUUACCUUGUAAGAAUAAGUACACCUAUCAUUAACCAUCCGCUCAUUACAAAACCACAAGCUUUCUGUGAACAGCAAUCCACACUGUGAUCAUUGGCCUACUGUAUGAACUGCAAUAUUCUGAGAGAAAUGUCUUUCAUGUAUGUUUGUGUACCAAAGAUGUACAAAUCUUCCUCCUCCCCCAGCCGGGCUGGGUGGACUCCUGGUGCUGUCUCUAUAUCGCUGUGUAUGUGUGAGGUCCCCGUAACAUAUCGCGCACCCGCUCAGCUUUUUACAGAAAUUUUAUUCAAUGACUUAUCCAACUUUUUAGCGACUUUAACCAUUCAGAUAUUUCUCUUAACUCCCCCAGUUUAAUCCUUGUACUCAUUUAGUUUCUUUUGUUUUUCAAGGAAUGAUAUCCAUUACUCUAUUUCCUGUUUCCAGAAGAAUUUUAUUCACUGCCAAAUCCAUUGAAGCAUUUAACACCUCGGCUUUGUUAGAAAUAACCAGUGUUUUUAUUUAGUUCUGUGUGUACAAUAACUUUCUUGGACAAAACCUAUAUUUUGAUUUACAGAGAUUUGUUCCAACAAUUUUGACCCUAGGAAAAAGCAUUGGGAUGUUUCAUUUGGUGUUUUAUAAGCAAAGCUUGUUAAAUUUUAUCAAGUUUUCAACAAUUCUGAUUGCUUGAAUUAUUGGCCAGUUUACUGUUUUGUUUUUUUUUUUUAAUUUAAAAAUUCAGCCCUUUUUUUUUUCUUUCUUUUUAUCAAUAUGAAACCAUAACUUUCAGCUUAAGUUAAAACUUGUUGGGUUUUUCAGAGAUUAUAUUUAUGCAUAUAUUGUAUUCUCUAACUUAUGUAAAAGUUCAUGGACCCGGCCAGGAGGACAUGCUAAUGAGAUUUCUGGGUCUAUACUUACUGAUGCUAGCAAUUUAUUCCUUAAGCAACUGUGAUCUUAUUUUAGUGGUAGAGCCCUAUGCCUGUUUGUAUACAUGAAUAUAUUGUUAAUGUCUGUAUUGUUCUUUUGUAUAAAAAGUGCUUCCAAAGUAAAUUGUUACAAAGAUGUC
rnacentral:sRNA from 1 species